rnacentral:rRNA from 1 species
GGACGGGUGAGUAACGCGUAAGAACCUGCCCUUGGGAGGGGAACAACAGCUGGAAACGGCUGCUAAUACCCCAUAGGCUGAGGAGCAAAAGGAGGAAUCCGCCCAAGGAGGGGCUCGCGUCUGAUUAGUUAGUUGGUGAGGCAAUGGCUUACCAAGGCGACGAUCAGUAGCUGGUCCGAGAGGAUGAUCAGCCACACUGGGACUGAGACACGGCCCAGACUCCUACGGGAGGCAGCAGUGGGGAAUUUUCCGCAAUGGGCGAAAGCCUGACGGAGCAAUGCCGCGUGAAGGCAGAAGGCCCACGGGUCAUGAACUUCUUUUCUCGGAGAAGAAAAAAUGACGGUAUCUGAGGAAUAAGCAUCGGCUAACUCUGUGCCAGCAGCCGCGGUAAGACAGAGGAUGCAAGCGUUAUCCGGAAUGAUUGGGCGUAAAGCGUCUGU